UAGAAAUGAUGUGAAUAAAUAUUUUCAGUCUUAUUUACCAUGCUGACAUUUCCCACCAAGAUCACUGAUCGA